rnacentral:rRNA from 1 species
UACGAGGGGUCCAAGCGUUAAUCGGAAUUACUGGGCGUAAAGCGUACGCAGGCGGUUUGUUAAGCGAGAUGUGAAAGCCCCCGGGCUCAACCUGGGAACUGCAUUUCGAACUGGCAGACUAGAGUCUUGUAGAGGGGGGUAGAAUUUCAGGUGUAGCGGUGAAAUGCGUAGAGAUCUGAAGGAAUACCGGUGGCGAAGGCGGCCCCCUGGACAAAGACUGACGCUCAUGUACGAAAGCGUGGGGAGCAAACAGGAUUAGAUACCCCCGUAGU